GGAAAAAAGAUGCAUUACUUAUUUUUCAUUUCCAUUCCCAUUGUGAACGUCUGAUGAAUUAAUGAAAAACAAGACACAGAAGAGCAAGUCAAAUAAAGCUGAAGAAAUUCACCAAAAGGAAUGGCUCUGUCUUCAGGUUUCCAUUGCCGUGAAGAGACACCAUGACCAUGAACCAGAUGUCGACAUUCACAAGCAAGUGGACACAAGUGAGUCCUGGCAACUUCAUAGUGCAAAAUGUAGCUGUAGUCUUCUAAAAGCCUGCUUUGGAUAUUGUCCAGCAUCUUGGACGAACCACUCAGGUCAGAAGGACUGAACCUCUUGCUCAGGGUCACACAGCAAGCACCACAUCUUCAUCCUGGGCUGUUUUGGAACACACCAGGUAGCCCUGCUUCAAGGGCAUACAGCAAGCACCACAUCUUCAUCCUGGGUUGUUUCGAGCACACCAGGUAGGUCUGUUUUCAGUUUGUUUACUCAGGGAAAAGCUGUUCUGAGUCAAAAGUAGGAAUGUGCCAUUUAAGAUAAGUGAUAUCCUCAUGAAGACAGAUCUGUGGUCCUGGUGCCAGUGGGUGUACACUUCAUUAAAUAGACAUACAACAGACAGGCUGAGUGUGAAGUGGCAACUUAAUAUAACCCCAAACCAAAGAUUUCUUGACUUUUACAUGGUAAGUGUCUUUUAUUGAUUAUUUUCAGCAUACAGUGUAGAGUCCUUUUACGAAUCCUUUCAACAUUUGCAGACAUUUUUGAUUUAUGACUGUAAGGGCUGGAGGGAGCUCUUGCUACUCAUCUUUAGAAGGAGGUAUUUGGGAAAGCUUCUUAUAUUAUACUCCCAAAAGAAUUUUUCCCAUUGCCUGGAUGUUCAAUUUGACUAGCCAGCACAGAGCUGGGCAGAGGUGGAACAGUAGAGUAGGAAAUAUACAUUGCUCAUAUUCACCCAUUCACUGCUCCUUUUCCUUCCUCUAAAAUAAAAACAAACAUCAAAUCCCCAGCUGUUUUAUGGAUGGUAGUAUCCAAAGGACACAGUCUGGCCAGUGUUGUUUGUGCCUCUUUUCCUACUUUUUGUCUUUUGGCAUAUAGAGAAACAAAUGACAUUUGAAAGCAGGAAUUUAAAAAUAUUACAGAAGAAAAGUAAGAAGCCAUCUAUGUCUGUCUACCGCCAGGCAUCCUGCAUGGAAAGGACAAGCUACAAUAUUUUAAGGUUGCUGAAAAGCACCUUCUUGCAUUUGCAGCUGACUGGAAUUCUUAGGUCAGAGACCACCUGACACUCAAAAUUCUGGGAUCAUAUGCCGUGUUUUAUAUUCAUGCAUUUGGAGAAACUCCUGAUGGGAACACUUGGGAGUGUGUAAUGAUAAUUGGUUGUUUGUCCCAACUGGUGCCACUGCCCUUCUCAGUCCCAAAUGAACACACAGAUGCUAUAUUAAUUAUGAAACUGUUGGCCAGUGACUACAGGUUCUUAUUUAGCCAGCUCUAUCUUAAAUAUUAACCCAUUUCUAUUAAUCCAUGUAUUUCCUCAUAGUUUUAUUUUACCAGGGAAUGCAGGACCUGCAGCUGCUUUGCCUGCUACAUGAUGACUGAUUAGUGUCUCUGCAGAGAAGAGAGCUAUUUCCUAUUUGUCCCUGCAUAUAUCCUGAUUCUGUCCAGCUAUGUCACUUCCUUUCUGACCAAUCAGCCAAUCAGUGUUUUGUUCAUUAGCCAGUAAGAGACACACAUGCGCAAUAACAUUGCCCAUCAAACCUUUCACAAUAGAUGGUUAUACUAUAAAUAAUAUUUAUAAAUAAUAAAUAAUAUUUAUCAAUAAAUAAUUAUUAUUCAGUCUAGGAAAUGGAGAUUCUCCAGAGUAAAAAAGAUGUCAGGAAAAUGGACUACUUACUAGUUUAAGAAAGGAUGCUGGGGCCAGAGAGAUGGCACAGUGGUUAAAAACACUUACUGCUCUUACAGAAACCUGGGUUUGGAUCCUUCCUAGUAUCUUUUGUAACUCCUGCUCAAAUGCCCUCUUCUGACUUUAGUGGGCACCUUUAUUCAGGUGUUGCACAUAAACACAGAUAAGCACACACACACACACACACACACACACAUAUGCACACAUACACACAAAUCUUUAAAAUAGAAUGUGAUACCUCCUUCCGUGGAAAGAUACAUGAAGAUGAAGGAAUUAUCCGCCAUCAUGAACCCAGUGAAAGUAAGUAUUGGUUUUGGGAAAAGGACCAAUAGGAGAGACUGGGAAUCCGAGGCAAUACACUGUCUCCCGGCUUCUACCAACUGUCAUUUAAUACAUCUUUAGGUAAAUUUAAUGAUGUCUUUUUGUUUAGGUUUCCUUACAGUUUGAGCACAGCACAGAGUGCCUGCUCGUUCAAUCUUAGUUCUCAGGAUGAUAAGCAUAAACUAAGCACUGGCAUUAUCUUCAGAUGAGAAUAUUUCAGUGUUGUGAAUAUAUGCACCUUUAUUAUGAUCACUCUGCAUACAGUGGGGGUAUGAUCUCUAUGCCUUUUUACUGUUAAACCAUAUUUAUAUGCACUGAUUACACUGGUAUUGAUGUAAAAUCCAACUUUUAGUCAAAGAUCCUCUUGCUUCAAAUGCAAAAACUUCAAAGGUGAGUUUUACGGGAUUUCUGUAGUUUCCAUUGUCAGGGCAUCUGCCACAAGCCUUUUGGUAUUUGGUUAUAAACUAGAAUGUUAGAGAUGAAAAAUUACUGAAUGUUGGAUUAAAAUGGAGUAUACUUAUGGAAGUUAUUCAGAAUUUAUCAUUUUUUGCCUUUGUUCCCAAACUCAGUCAUCUUCAUUUUUUUCUUGCAUAAGUAACUAGCCUUAUUGUAUACUCAAUUAAAAAACCUAGAAAAGGUAAUGAUUAGAAGAAUACCAUUGUUGAUAUGCAUAGAAAUAUUUUCAUUUUAAAAACUCAUAUAUAUAUAUAUAUAUAUAUGAUCAUUGAUUAUUAGCGCAUCGAUAAAAACUUUGAGUCUGUUAAUAUUAGACAGAUAUUGAAAAUUCCCUCAUUUUCCAAUACAACAAUGUGAUUACUAUACUCCUUGGAAUGAUUCAGAUGGACCUAGUUGGGUGCAUAAUUGAAGAUAUCUUUGACUUGGGUCACAGAUUUUAGUAAAAUUGUUUAGUAGUUGUUCCUGUGGUUUUCUCAGCAUAGGGAAAGGGCAUUGUGUUCAUUAAGGCUAAAUAAAGAGAGGGUCAAGAAAUUGCAGAACCAUAGCACAGGUGUUUGUGAACUGAUGGAGUCUGAAAUCUAAGCUCAAUACUAUAUGCAAGAAAUUGGGGGAGACUGCUGCACUCUGGGAAAUGUGUGGGAGUUACUAGAUGGGAAUUUCCCUUGUGGUCAGAAAAUGGGUCAGAAGCUGUUGAAGAGUUGGAUGAAGGCUACUUCCAGAGAGCAGGAUGCUUUUGGAAAGUAAGUCACACACUAGUAUGAUUUUUAGUAUUGAUCAUCAUCUUGACAGCAUCUAGAGAGUCCUUUUUGCAUGUAGGUGAGGGAUUGUCCAGUUUCAGCUAUUGAGGUAAGAAGACUCACCAUUGCAGUAGAAGGAGCUGGUCCUCAGGGAGGAUGCUUCCAGGUCUUUUCCAGCUGAUUCCUUCAUGUCCUGUGUCUUAACUAUGUAGUGUGGUCAGCACCUUCAAGAUCUGAGGCUACUGUUGGCAAUGGCAAUAGUCUGCAUUGUUGUAAAUUUAUUAGACUGCUCUGAUCAAAGUUCAAAAACAGAUUGCCUAUCCUUGACCCUGGAGAUUUUAUUAAUAGAUUAUGGCUCUUAAAUGGAGCAUUAUAACCCCAAGUGGCAUAAUUUCAUUACACAGAGAGAGACAGAGACAGAGAGAGAGAGAGAGAGAGAGAGAGAGAGAGAGAGAGAGAGAGAGAGAGAGAGAGAGAGAGAGGAGAGAGGAAGGGGGAGACAGAGAGAGUAAACAAAAGAUACUAUGAUUUCCUAUGGCUUUGCCAGACAUGCAGUGUUAUUUCAAACACCAAUUCAGCCACUUAAUCUUGGAGUUAAAAUUUGUCCUUCCUGAAAGAUGUGCAUGUGCUGUGGUAAAGGUGAUACAAUACUUGUGGGAGUGACUAACCUAUCAUAGGUCCACCUAGAGACCCAUAACCUUAGAGGGGGCCCAUUCCUGACACUAUCUGGGUAGCUAUAAACCAGAGAGUGGAUAGUUAGAGAGCAGCCUUUGAUUGCCUAUAGAUCUACACCUAGAUGUGAAGCCUUGGAAGAUUCCCCAUCUGUACUGGCAUGUGUUGGAACUGUUCUGGUUUUCUUUAGGCAAUGUAUUGGUAAGAUUUCCUGAGUAUAGCUUUCCGGUCACACACAGAAGACAUUAUCUCAGAGCAUCCAUUCUGUUCCUCUGACUCUAGCCCAAGUUCAUCUGUUUUCUUCAUUUGUGGCAGUUCUGAAUUUCAGUGACAGUCUCUGUCUGCUGCAAUCAGAAGCUUCUUUGAUGAGGAAUGAGAACCACACUUACCUGUGGGUACAAGGAUAAAUAUUAAGAAUGCAACCGGGGCUCAAGAUGGUUUACAUUCUCCUCUAUGGUCCAUGACAUCACCAGCCACAGGACCCAUACCCUCCACUGGAAGAAGGGAUGGGAAGACAACAAUAUAA